rnacentral:rRNA from 1 species
AGGGAAGUAGGUUAAUAUUCCUACACUAUGAGAAUACGAUUAUUUGUUUUCUUCGGAGGAUAAAUAAGGGGCGGUAACGUUAUAUGAACUCAUAUACGUCAUAUAUAGUUCAGAAUAGAGAUCUCUUCUCUAUUUAAGAUAUUUUGUCCAUGGAAUGAGAUCAUCUCGAGAUAUGGAUAAAGGUAUUGAAAAGCAUAACGGUUUUUGUUAUGUUCUGAUUGCUAUAUAUGGCCCUUGAAAAUAUGAGGGAUCCCUAAUAAUGUAUUCCAUAGCCGUACCUUAUUCCGCAUCAGGUUUUCAAGGUGAAUAGCCUCUGGUCGAUAGAAUAAUGUAACGUAAGGGAAGUCGGCAAAUUAGAUCCCUAACUUCGGGAAAAAGGAUUGGCUCUAAGAAUCGAGUAUAUUGGGUUUUUGAAUGAAACUUUUUGAGAUGGAUCAUGUUUGAGGGAUGCUUCGGUUGAACUUGGACUAGUGUUCGUCNUGAAUUGUAGAAUUUUUAAACUUGUUUUUUUACUUUACGGUUUUAAAACGUCAAUAUACACUUAACGAUUAGCUUAGAACUGACACGGACUCGGGGAAUCCGACUGUCUAAUUA